rnacentral:rRNA from 1 species
GACGAACGCUGGCGGCGUGCCUAACACAUGCAAGUCGAGCGGAUGACGGAGGAGCUUGCUCCUCCUGAUUCAGCGGCGGACGGGUGAGUAACACGUGGGCAACCUGCCCUGUAGAUUGGGAUAACUCCGGGAAACCGGGGCUAAUACCGAAUAAUCCUUCGGACCUCAUGGUCCGAUGUUGAAAGACGGUUUCGGCUGUCACUACAGGAUGGGCCCGCGGCGCAUUGGCUAGUUGGUGAGGUAACGGCUCACCAAGGCCACGAUGCGUAGCCGACCUGAGAGGGUGAUCGGCCACACUGGGACUGAGACACGGCCCAGACUCCUACGGGAGGCAGCAGUAGGGAAUCUUCCACAAUGGACGAAAGUCUGAUGGAGCAACGCCGCGUGAGUGAAGAAGGUUCUCGGAUCGUAAAACUCUGUUGUGGGGGAAGAACAAGUACCGGAGUAACUGCCGGUGCCUUGACGGUACCUCAUUAGAAAGCCACGGCUAACUACGUGCCAGCAGCCGCCGUAA